rnacentral:lncRNA from 1 species
AAUCGCAGUGCUUCAUUCCGUGUUCUAAACCAUUGUCAACAUCACCACUUCAUUGGUUCUAUUCAAGAAAACUAAGAUGGUGAGUGUAUCUGAGAUCCGACAGGCUCAAAGGGCAGAAGGUCCAGCAACCAUCCUUGCCAUUGGAACUGCAACCCCAUCUAACUGUGUUGAUCAGAGCACAUAUCCCGAUUACUACUUCAGAAUCACAAACAGUGAGCACAUGACCGACCUCAAAGAGAAGUUUCAGCGCAUGUGUAAGUCCUCUCAUCUUCUCAUAUCUACCAAAAUCCUAAAUUUAACAAGUUUAUGAUGUUGAAUGAAGGUGAUUAACAUUGAUAUUGGUUUACAAUGUUUCAGGUGACAAGUCGAUGAUAAAGAAGAGAUAUAUGCAUUUGAACGAGGAGAUACUGAAGGAGAAUCCUAACAUGUGUGCUUACAUGGCACCUUCUUUGGAUGCGAGGCAAGACAUAGUGGUGGUAGAGGUACCAAAGUUAGGGAAAGAGGCUGCAGUGAAGGCCAUAAAGGAGUGGGGACAGCCAAAGUCAAAGAUUACACACUUGAUAUUUUGCACCACCAGUGGUGUCGACAUGCCUGGUGCUGAUUACCAGCUCACCAAACUCUUGGGACUUCGGCCCUAUGUGAAGAGGUACAUGAUGUACCAACAAGGAUGCUUUGCAGGAGGCACGGUUCUUCGAUUGGCCAAGGAUUUGGCUGAGAACAACAAAGGUGCCCGUGUGCUUGUGGUGUGUUCUGAGAUCACUGCAGUGACUUUCCGUGGGCCAAGUGACACCCACCUAGACAGUCUUGUGGGACAGGCAUUGUUUGGAGAUGGAGCAGCUGCAGUGAUUGUUGGUUCUGACCCAAUUCCACAGAUUGAGAAGCCUUUGUUUGAGUUGGUUUGGACUGCACAGACCAUUGCUCCAGACAGUGAUGGUGCUAUUGAUGGUCACCUUCGUGAAGUUGGACUCACGUUUCACCUCCUUAAGGAUGUUCCUGGGAUUGUCUCAAAGAACAUUGGAAAGGCACUUUUUGAGGCCUUCAACCCAUUGAACAUAUCUGAUUACAACUCCAUCUUCUGGAUUGCACACCCUGGUGGACCUGCAAUUCUGGACCAAGUUGAGCAAAAGUUGGGUCUGAAACCUGAAAAGAUGAAGGCCACUAGAGAUGUGCUGAGUGAUUAUGGGAACAUGUCAAGUGCAUGUGUGCUAUUCAUCUUGGAUGAGAUGAGGAGGAAAUCAGCUGAAAAGGGACUUAAAACAACAGGUGAAGGACUUGAAUGGGGUGUUUUGUUUGGUUUUGGACCUGGACUUACCAUCGAGACCGUCGUUCUCCACAGUGUCGCAAUAUAACACCCACACCAUUCCCUACCCUAUUGUUUCUGCAUUGAGAUUUUAUUUUUGAUUUUUUUAUGUAUUUGUUGAAAAUUUUAUUUAUAAUAUAAUAAUUAUAAGAAUUAAAAAUGUAUAAUUUUGAUUUUAUUGAUUCCAAAAUUAAUUGUGCAAAAAAUAGAAAGCAUUUUCCAAAUACUUUGCCUUUUUAUUACUUUACAUUUUUUUUUUGCAUGAAUCUUUUACCUGUCUAAUAUGAAAUAAUAAAUUAUCAUUGACAUGAAAUAAAUACUACAAUAAAUUGUCGAGAUUUUUUUAUUUUGGAAAUGACGUAAAUUUAGGGAAAUGCUUGAUAGUGGUAGUUUUCUAGCAAAAUUGAAAAGAAUAAUAAAAAAUUGAUAUCAAAUAUAUAUAAUUUGAAAGCGAUUCUAUAUAUUUAAAAAUAAUACAAAUUAGAAUGAAAAAGUGUGAUGGUGGUAGUUUUUUAACAAAAUUGAAAAGCAUAAUAAAAAGUUGUUAUAAACUGUAUUUUUCUAUUCAUUUAAUUUACAAAAGUUAAAAUUGGAAUGAAAGUGAAAAACUGGAUCGUGAAUACAACAAAACAAAGAUGAGAAAACUUGUCUGGAAUAUGUGUUAAUAUAUAAAAUUAUAAUAGAAUUUCAAUUAUAAGUUUGUAAUUGCAUCACAUGGUUAUGGAAACAUGUUCAUAGAAAACCGUGUUAGAAAUUUAUUAAUAAGAUUUACACUGAGUUUCUAAAUUUGUAGAUAAUGUUGUUAAGAAGUGAGUUUUAAGCCUAACUCAACUUCGUAAAACUGGCUUAUAAGGUGAGGUUUGCACCCACUUAUAAAGAAUGAAAUAUCUUAAUUUAUAGUUGAUGUGAGAUCUCCAACACACCCCUCACAUGUGUGAAGAUAUAUGUUAUAGGUGGUCCGAUAACGGUCCGAUAGCGGGUGACACAAUAGGCCCAACAAACACUCACUAUGAUAGGUUUUUAAAUGGCUCUGAUACCAUGUUAAGAAGUGGACUUUAAGCCUAACACAACCUCAUGAAACAAGUUCAUAAGGUGAGCUUUGCACCCAAUUAUAAAGAAUAGAAAAAACUUUCAAAAUUGAGUGUAAGUUGCACCCAAUUGAGUGUAGAGACAUGCUUAGUGAGAAAAUUGUAUAAAAAAAUUAGCCCAUUAAGAUAGGAUUGAUCCUCAAAGGUGUGGGAGACACGUUGCUUAGAAAUUUCAAUAAAUGUUCACCCAUAACAUUUUGAUUGAGUUCACAUGAGUAAGACGCAAUUAUGUAGAAAAUUACAUCAAAAAAAAUUUCAUAGGGGUGUAAUUAUGCAACAUCAAUGCGAGAACUAUCAAUAAAGUUAUAUUAUGUGUUUGGCGUAUUCUAACUGGGAAAAUUGCAACCUAUGAUAAUCUAUUACAUAGAGGAAUUUAGAGUGGUGGGGGGAUGUGUGUCAUGUGUGGGAUUGAGCUAGAAACAGUAAAUCAUCUUUUCUUUACAUGCAAAGUAGCUUCUAAAGUGUGGUGUAUGUCUGAUGUGUGGGUUGGUAGAGUUUUUGUACAUUGUGAUAAUACUACUCAACAUUUUGAACAUAUUGGCUUUAUGGACCUAAAUUAUGUGGGUAAUUGUGUUUGAAAGUGUAUGUGGACAACCAUUAUUUGGGGAAUUUGGAAUCAUAGAAAUAAGAUUAUUUUUAAUAAUGGAGUGGUAGAUCCUUUUGAAACUUUUGUUAUGGCACAAGUAAAGGUGUGGGACAUGGGUAACUUAUAAAUUCCCAAAAUCAAACUUCUCUUAUUCUGAUUGGUGCUUUGAUGUAUAUGAAAGUUUGAAAUCACUACAUUGAUGGUUAACUAUCUUCCUCCUCUUUUAUGGUGGGUUCUAUUUUGGAUGAGAACACAUAUUGCUGAGUGUGAUUCAACCUCUGAUACUGGGGAGGAGCAAAGAACCAACAUACCUUUGUGGAGAUGUCAUGCCUUAUAUCCUGGACAUGGGUUAUGUUGUUGCCUUAUUUUUUGUAUUAUAGUAAGCUGGAUAUGUACAAAUUUUGGCUAAGAACUAGGCGUAUUGUACGUGGAUUGGAGUACCCAAGUAUUCUCAUUUAUAUUAUUUUUUAUUGUUAAUUAAAACAAAAGUGUUUAGAUCUAACAAUUGAGACACCAAAUCAUUGAAAAAACACAAUUUUUAUGAUAAAAAAUUCUUUGCAUAAGAGCGAAGAUUUAUGCAAAUUAUAGUCAUUUUUUUAUGCAAAUUGUAGUCAUAAUAAAUUAUAUUCUUAUUCAUAACCGAUUAUGUUGGUCUUUCAUAAUCGAUACGUCUUGAACAUAAUUGAUUGAUGUUGGUUAAUUUUUUAUUAAUAUUUAUGUUUUUAUUUAUUAUAAUAAAAUAAAUAAAUAAUAUAAUAUUAUUAAAAUUAAAAAUUAAAAAAAUCAAUCAUAUCUGCAACUUUAUACUCAAAUAUAUUUAUUUUUCUUUAAUCCAAACCACCUAUUUUUUUAUUGUUUUUCUCAUCAUUUUGUUUCUUUCUCCACUUCCAAUCAAAACAAAUUGUGUUUAGAUUAAGAAAAGGAUGAAAAAGGUAAAAAAAAAAAAGGAUAAAAAGAGUGAGGAAAGUGAGAUUGUAGAUCGAGUGAAAGUGAGUAAAUUUUUUUUAAAGAUUUGAUUGUGAUAGAAUAAAUUUAUUGUGUAUAAAUGCAUAUAGAAAAUAGUUUAUGGAAUCAAUUUUUAAAAAAUUGAAUGUAAAAAAUAAACUUCUUUGAAUUUGUAAAUUAAAGUCAAAAUAAAUUUUAAAUUACACUAUAAGCAAAGCAUAAAACCUAAAAAACCACUUAUACUUUGGAAAAGAUUAUUUCAUGUUUGAUUCUAUCAUUCGUACUUAAGACUCAAAAGUGAUUCUUCCUCAACCAAUUCUACUUGCACAUCUUCAUCUGUCACUUGGUUAAAGAUAAAAUUAAUUAUUAUAUUCACUAAAUUAUAUAUUAUUUCAAAGACUAAAAACUUUAUUAGUAUCUAAAAUAAUUGAUAUUAUUAAUAAAUAAUUUUUAAAUUAAUAUUUAAUUAGUUAAUAGAAAAAUUUAGGUAACAAAUUUUUAAAAUAUAAAGUACGAAAAAAAUGCAUUAAAAGAAUGUUAUUAAAAAAUAUGAUAUAAAUAGAAGAGCAAACUAGAAAAUGGUAGCUCCAAUAGGUUGACCGUUGAAGAAUGAACUAACCACUUUGAAUUUUAAUUUAAAAUAUUGAGUGGAAAAAUUCUUUUAUGGGUUCAUAGAACUUAAUGCUGCUUGACGAUGACAAACGAAGUAACCAACAGGAGAGAAUAUACAAUAAAAUAAUAUGAAGAAUUAGUGGUCUCUGAUUUUAUUGGGAUUUCAUUGUGACCGUUCGAUUACUUCACCUGCAACCUACCAACACUAUUGCCUCCGGUAUCUUCCUGCGCUACCACCGUUCACUCCAUUAACGUUACAAAAGUGUGUUAAUUAUUUAGGAAAAUAUACUUUACAGCUCUUAAAGUUCUAAACAACUUUUGAUUAAAACUAGUAAAACUAAAUAACAGCAUUAGCAUAAAUUAACCCUGGAUUAAAAAAGUCAACCCACAGCAUCUGUAGUUGAUGGACGGUAGGAGAAUAAUUCAUUCAACAUUUUCACUCCAAAGCCAAGUUCGACGCACACGUGAUAAAAUAUCACCAAUUAUUGGUUGGUCAAUUCAAAGAUAGAUGACGAGUUAACGGAGUUAGAGAUGGUCUUCUAAACCGAACUUCUCAUAUGUCACAAACUACCACAUGGAAACUAUACAACAUGUGCUUUCGACGAAAGGUGGAAAUUGGUCAUACACGUGAUGCUCACCUACUCUUCUUCCUAUCCACCCUCCAUGCAUAUAAAACGCUAACUCCUCCAACAUCUUCAAACACACAACUUCAGCAACCAAACCAACAACCCUCUCUACCAUCGAAAACAUCACCACUUCAUUACUUCUAUUCAAGAAAACUAAGAUGGUGAGUGUAUCCGAGAUCCGCCAGGCUCAAAGGGCAGAAGGCCCAGCAAACAUCCUUGCCAUUGGAACUGCAACCCCAUCAAACUGUGUUGAUCAGAGCACAUCCCGAUUACUACUUCAGAAUCACAAACAGUGAGCACAUGACCGACCUCAAAGAGAAGUUCCAGCGCAUGUGUAAGUCCUCUCAUCUUCUCAUAUCUACAAAAAUCAGAAAUCUAACAAGUUUAUGAUGUUGAAUGAAGAUGAUUAAU